GUAAACUCUUACUUUGCAAUGGCAUGGGAUACGAAGCCCUCCGAGGGAUAAUAAAGGCUCUCCCAUCCAACUCCAAUUCCGGCACGUCCUCAUCGUGCAGAGUGGUAACAUGUGCCUGCAUAUAUCCAAGCUUGGGUACACGGGCUAGAUCCAAUCCCUUGGGCGGAUGGUGGCAUAUGGCGAACCAGGAGGGG
rnacentral:ribozyme from 1 species